GUGAGCUGUGUUUAAAA
rnacentral:piRNA from 1 species